GACCGCCCAGGGAUAGAGGGGGAGCCUCCCGGGGUGGGGGUAAAGAGGCACAAACCCCUCUGGGUUUUGUUCCCACAGUCCGCCUUACAUUGUUGGAGACUACGGGGCGGGGAGUGGGGGAGGCAGCGCGAUCCUCUACCCUACUCGGAGUCUUAGGGGGUCGGUGGAAGGAAUCGGAGUAGAGCAAAUGUGGGUAAACCCUGGACAGAGAGCGUUGAGACCAACAGACAGGAAGGGAAAGUGUGAAAAAAGUCUGUAGAGGUGACUGUGGAGACAGACGUGACAGGUGUAUGAUGCAAGGGUGGACACGAAGAUAAUAAGGUGACAAAUGGGAAAGGACUAAGGACCGAAUGCCGGGGAAGUUGAAUGCCUUGAGGCUGGUGGGGCAAUAUCCUCUCUUUUCUUCACUUUUUCUCACCUCUGGCAGAUGAGGGUUCUUAUUUGGUGUGUUCUUUGCAAAGGGAGAAAUUCUCAACCACCCCAAUGAUCUAUAUAUCUCUUUAGACCCCAGAUUUCACUCAGUUAUCAAAUACUGAUUAUCAAAGUAUUCGAGGGUGUGUUAUUAAUUUCUUUAUUUGAAAGAUGCUUACCUCCCUAUGAUUUCUAUCCUUUGGUUUUCUUUGUGUCCUCUGGAACUAGUUUUAAUAAAUUAUUCUCUUUUAUGUUGUUGGAGCAGAAAAAGGAGCUCUUUUGCUUUAACAGUUGGAUGAUAUAGAUUCCAGGAAGGAAAAUAUAGCAUACAAGUUUUUAUGUGUAAGACAUUCGUUUUUUGCAUAACAGCUGUCAUAGAAUGGUAGAGCGGGAAGGAAACUUCGAGAUCACUGAAUCAUAACCUCUCAUUUUUCUGUGGUAAAAUUGAGCAAUUCUGCCUGUCUGAUAUAAGACUUCAGGCAAACCUGGAUGUGAAUCCUGGCCUCCACCACCUGACUUUGGGAACAUUCUCUAAGCUCUCAACCUCAGUUUUCUUAUGGCUAAAUGAUAAUAGUAAUAUUUACAUUUCAUGUUUUUUGUAAAGAUUAAAUAAGGUAGCAUAAACAACCUGGCACAAUAUUUGCCACAGGGUAGAGAAUAAAUAGUAGUCACCAUUAAUGUUGAAGAGUUACAUUCAUAUGUGUUUGAGGGGUGCUAAUGAAUGUAAUUUAGUCAGACUUUGAAACAGCAUUUAUCUGGGUUCACCAAUAAAAACUAUCAAAAAGAUAGUCUGCCAUGUGGUAGGAAGGGCAUGGGAUGUUCUAUCAAUGAUAAGCUGAAUCCUUAGCAACAGGUGUUUACUGGGUAGAAGAGUUUCAACAACAGGACCUACUAGAAUCAAUUUUGAAUUGGGAGUAGUACUAGUUUUACUAUUUAUAUCCAGAUAAGGGAAUGAAUUGUGAAAUCCUAAGUUUGUAAAUGACACCACUAUUUUGUGUCCUUAAAUGAUGAGCUAAUGAGCAGUGUGGGUUUUGGAGUUGGUUGAAUUCAUUCAAAUCCCAGAAAAUAAACUGAUGAUA